UGGGAAAGCAUUCCGAAACCUAUCCCUUAGAUCUGUACUUCGACGAUUUUGAAGUCCGAGAUUUGCAUCUUUACUAAUACGAGUCCAGCAAGGACCAUGCAGAAAAAAGCCCUCUAAUAAACGCUCAUCCUCUUCUGGGGUAAAUUGCUUUCUCUCCUUUCUAGUUGAUUUAGAUAAACCUACCGUAUGAGGGAUUUUUUGAGGCCGUCCCAUAUGCGUUUUCGCAUUGGGAUAAAACUUUUUGUAAUCUUCUGGUAAAAUUGUCCGAAAUCUUGCAUAUACCCAUUAGCAAUUGAUUUAGGCAAUGAAAAAAAUUUGAUCAUGCAUACCUGUCUUUUAAAUCAUUGGGAGAACGAUUCGUAAAAUGAAAACGUUCAUCUAAUAGUAUUUUUUUCCAAUUACCAACACCAUGCUAGAGACGGUUAGUUUUCGAAAAAAAAAUCAUUUUUAUAUAUUCAAUUACUAAUAAAAAGACAAUGUCAGUAUUGAAUUAACAUACAAUUUGACAUCCCCGUAGUAAAUCGUUAGUUUCUUUCUCAGUCCAUUUUACUCGAGGCUUUCUCACUUUCGUAGGCUUUCUCUCGAAUCCUGGAACAUCUUGAGCUACCUCCCUUUUAGAGGGAUUUUCAGCUGCCAAAAUGGACCCAUUCAACAAGUCGACAGAAUGCUCAUCCAUAAGAUCUGAUGAAAACCCUGGAGGUUUCAUAGACCUCAUGGUCAACUUGAUUACAAAAGAGAAGUUACGAUAUAAUUUUUUAUGGGGUUUUUGGUUAUGUACAAGAAACCUUCAACAAUUCCCUAGUGGUGACUCUAAUGUACAAUUAGAUGUUUCAACGCCUAUAUAUAUAUGCAAAUGCCAAGUCAGGAAAUCAAUAACAAGAAGUUCGUGGCCCCCACAUUGGCCACCAUAAUGUUGAGGUGAGUAAACAAACCAACAAUAGGUUAGCUAAAAGACAGUUGAUACAUCUUUAUUUUUUAUAAACAUAAAAAUCUUAAAAAAAUACAGGUUAUACUGAAUAGACAUACUCUGAAUUGAACUAGCUUAACAUUUAAUUUUCAAAUUC